rnacentral:rRNA from 1 species
UACGGGGGGAGCAAGCGUUGUUCGGAUUUACUGGGCGUAAAGGGCGCGUAGGCGGUCAGCACAAGUCAGUUGUGAAAUCUCCGGGCUUAACUGGGGAACUGCGUCUGAUACUGGCGAGCUUGAGUGCAGGAGAGGAACGCGGAAUUCCAGGUGUAGAGGUGAAAUUCGUGGAUAUCGGGAGGAACACCAGUGGCGAAAGCGGCUCACUGGACCACAACUGACGCUGAGGCGCGAAAGCUAGGGGAGCAAACAGG